GACGAACGCUGGCGGCGUGCUUAACACAUGCGAGUCGAACGGAAAGGCCUGCUUUCCCUUGUGGAUUGCGGGUACUCGAGUGGCGAACGGGUGAGUAACACGUGAGUGAUCUGCCCCCAACUUGGGUAUAAGCCUGGGAAACUGGGUCUAAUUCCCGAUAGGACUGCAGGGUGGUGCCUGUGGUGGAAAACGAUUUUCUAGUGGUUGGGGAUGAGCUCGCGGCCUAUCAGCUUGUUGGUGGGGUAAUGGCCUACCAAGGCGGCGACGGGUAGCCGGCCUGGGAGGGUGGACGGCCACAUUGGGACUGAGAUACGGCCCAGACUCCUACGGGAGGCAGCAGUGGGGAAUAUUGCACAAUGGGCGGAAGCCUGAUGCAGCGACGCCGCGGGGGGGAUGACGGCCUUCGGGUUGUAAACUCCUUUCGACCGCGAGGAAGCCACCUGGUUGGAAGGGUGGUGACGGUAGUGGUAGAAGAAGCACCGGCUAACUACGUG
rnacentral:rRNA from 1 species